AAAAGUAAAAGAAGGGCAGACGGUGGAUGCCUUGGCUCUCGGAGGCGACGAAGGACGUGAUAAGCUGCGAAAAGCCCGGUUGAGGUGCAAAUAACCAUUGACGCCGGGAUAUCCGAAUGGGGAAACCCGAUUGGUAGAAGACCAAUCACAUCGAAAGAUGAGCGAACGUGGGGAACUGAAACAUCUAAGUACCCAUAGGAAGAGAAAAUAAUAAUGAUUGCGUAAGUAGUGGCGAGCGAACGCGUAAGAGCCCAAACCAUAGAUGUUUUGGCAUCAUAUGGGGUUGUAGGAUCGCAAUGUGGCAAGAAGCAAAGGAAGUGGAACCCGCUGGAAAGAGGGCCAUAGAGGGUGAAAGUCCCGUACACGAAUCUUUUGUGAAGCCUAGCGAUAUCCUGAGUAAGUCGGGACACGUGAAAUCCUGUGUGAAUCUGCGGGGCCCAUCCCGUAAGGCUAAAUACUCCCGAGAGACCGAUAGUGAACCAGUACCGUGAGGGAAAGGUGAAAAGAACCUCGAAUAGAGGAGUGAAAUAGACCCUGAACCCGUCUGCCUACAAGCGGUCGGAGCAUCUUUAUGGUGUAACGGCGUGCCUUUUGCAUAAUGAACCUGCGAGUUGUUUUUUUUGGCAAGGUUAAGCAUCAGUAGGUGCGCAGCCGAAGCGAAAGCGAGUCUGAAUAGGGCGACUAAGUCAAAAGGAGCAGACGCGAAACCAAGUGAUCUACCGAUGGCCAGGCUGAAGGUUGGGUAACACCAACUGGAGGGCCGAAUGGAUAUACGUUGAAAAGUGUUCCAAUGAGCUGUGGGUAGGGGUGAAAGGCUAAUCAAACUUGGAGAUAGCUCGUACUCCCCGAAAUGCAUUUAGGUGCAGCCUCGGGUAAGGUACUGAUGAGAGGUAGAGCGACUGAUUGGAUGCGAGGGCUUCACCGCCUAUCAAGUCCGGCCAAACUCCGAAUGCUCAUCAGCAACAUCCCGGGAGUGAGGGCAUGGGUGCUAAGGUCCAUGUCCGAGAGGAGAAGAAUCCAGAUCACCGGCUAAGGUCCCCAAAUAGCAGCUAAGUUGCAUUAACGAAGUCCGACCGCAGCGACAGCCAGGAUGUUGGCUUGGAAGCAGCCAUUCAUUUAAAGAGUGCGUAACAGCUCACUGGUCGAGGGGUCGGGCAUGGAUAAUAAUCGGGCAUAAGCUGUUUACCGAAGCCGUGAGAUCGAAAAGAUCGGUAGGGGAGCAUUCCAUUAUCAGCGUUGAAGAUGAGAGGUGACUCUUGUUGGAGCGGAUGGAAAAGCAAAUGCAGGUAUAAGUAACGAUAAAGGGGGUGAAAAACCUCCUCGCCGAAAGACCAAGGGUUCCUGAUCAACGCUAAUCGGAUCAGGGUUAGUCGGGACCUAAGGCUAAGCCGAAGGGCGAUGCCGAUGGAAGAACCGGUUAAUAUUCCGGUACUGCUUUGUGGAGUGAUGUGGAGACGGAGAAGUGACAGCUCGGCCAUCUGACGGAAUAGGUGGUUAAAGGGUGUAGACGUUGAUUGUUGUAGGCAAAUCCGCGACAAGAGUUGAACCUGACAGUAUGCAGCGUACUUGUACAAUGUAAUAAGAGCGUAAUCAGGCUCCCAAGAAAACCCGCUAAACAUAUCUUCAAAGCACCCGUACUCGAAACGGACACACGUGGUCGGGUUGAAAAUACUAAGGCGCUCGAGUGAUUCACGGUUAAGGAACUAGGCAAAAUGGUCCUGUAACUUCGGGAUAAAGGACGCCAAUAGCAAUAUUGGUCGCAGAGAAUAGGCCCAGGCGACUGUUUAACAAAAACACAUGACUAUGCGAAAUCGAAAGAUGAUGUAUAUGGUCUGACACCUGCCCGGUGCUGGAAGGUUAAGAGGAGAUGUCAUCCUGCAAGGGAGAAGCAUUGAAUUGAAGCCCCAGUAAACGGCGGCCGUAACUAUAACGGUCCUAAGGUAGCGAAAUUCCUUGUCGGGU
rnacentral:rRNA from 1 species